CGCUAACAAACGCCGUCUGGCUCUGGCGUUUCAGGGCACGUGGGGGCGCCGCUGCCUUGCAACCACAUCAAGCUCGUGGACGUCGAGGAACUGAACUACUGGGCCUCCGAAGGAGAGGGAGAGAUAUGUGUGAGAGGACCAAACGUGUUCAAGGGCUACUUGAAAGACGAGGACAGGACCAAGGAGGCCCUGGACAGUGACGGCUGGCUUCACACCGGGGACAUCGGGAAGUGGCUGCCGACAGGAACUCUUAAAUUAUCGACGGAAAAAGCACAUAU